AUCUCUCUAAAGUGCUGGGAUAGAGAAAGACCAGAGCCUAACUUUCAUAGGACACUAGAGAGCCAGCGCUGUGCUGGGAGCCAGAGUUUGGCCCCAGGUGGAAGGAGGGAAGGGAAUUCAGGGCCUUGUGUAUGCUAGACUCGCUCUCUGUACCAGGUACAGCAGAAAGUAUCUGAAGACACGCUUGUGUCUCAAUACCAGGCUAAUGAAACGACGACGACGGGCACCAGAGAUAUAGGACUUCCCCCAGGAACGAGCGGUGGAUUUUGGCGGCAUUUGCUAGAUCUCUGUGUCUCUCUUCCCAAUGUGGCGACAUUAAAUAAAUCUCCCUUUCUGCCUUCCA
rnacentral:lncRNA from 1 species